AAUGAACGUUGGCGGCGUGGAUUAGGCAUGCAAGUCGUACGAGAAUCGUAGCAAUACGAGGAAAGUGGCGGAAGGGAGAGGAUUACGUGGGAAUCUACCCUCAGAACUGGGAUAGCGGCGGGAAACUGCCGGUAAUACCAGAUAAUGUCUGUGGACCAAAGGUGUGAUUCCGUCUGGGGAUGAGCCCACGUCCUAUUAGCUAGUUGGCAGGGUAAUGGCCUACCAAGGCAAUGAUGGGUAGCGGGUGUGAGAGCAUGACCCGCCUCACUGGGACUGAGAACUGUCCAGACACCUACGGGUGGCUGCAGUCGAGAAUCUCCGGCAAUGAGCGCAAGCUUGACCGAGCGACGCCGCGUGCGGGAUGAAGGCCUUCGGGUUGUAAACCGCUGUCGUAGGGGAGCAAGAGAUGAGGGUACUCCCUCUGAUUUGAGCGAUCCUAGGAGGAAGGACGGGCUAAGUUCGUGCCAGCCGCCGCGGUAAAAC
rnacentral:rRNA from 1 species